CAAGUAUUGACUGCUUUUCAUUGUUAUUUCUUGUCAAGCUUAUUUCCUUGUUCCUCAAAACAGUCUUGACUCAACUAGUCAGAAGAGAAAUAUGUGAUUGAGUAAGAUCAGAGAGCUGAAGAAGAUUAAUCCAUGGCAGAAAAAUAUGGAAUUGAUGAGCCAAAAACAAACAGAGAGAGCAUGGACAAACCUAUCACAUUUACCAUAACAGGAGCCAUCAUAUCUAAAGAAGAUCUGCUUUUAUAUUUAGAGAUUUUCAAUGAAUUCCAAAAACAAGAUAAAAAGAAAUACAGAGUAAGCUGGGAUGAGAAAACACACAUGUUACGAAGCCUGCGGAAGUCUUUUACCUCUAAUGACUCGGGUUAUGAUUCCAGAAGAGCAACACAAAUUCUAGAUUCAACCCAGCAAACAAAGACACGUCCAAAAGACGUCUAUUUAACGUCUUUCUUGAACGUUCAAAAGACGUCCACCGAGGAGCCAGAAUGAAAGUUUUAACAACGUCUUUUUUAGAUGUCGUUUUAAUGUUCAAUGUUGACGUCCAAGUGACAUAAAUACUGAACGUUAAGAAGACGUCCAAUGAGAAGCCAGAUUAAAGGUUUUUGCAACGUCUUUUUAACAUUACAUAUUGACGUCCAAGUGACAUAAAUAUUGAACGUUCAGAAGACGUCUGAGGAGCAAGAAUGAAAGGAUUUAUGACGUCUUUUUAACGUUCACUGAUAACAUCCAAGUGACAUAAAUAGUGAACCUUGAAAAUAUGUCUUUUUAAAAGUCUUCGAAAUGUUCAUUAUUAACCAAUUAUCAUCAUCCAAAUGACAUCCUAACAGUGUUGGAAAUGAAUGUCUUAACAACAUUUCAAAUGUCACUUACAAACAUCUAAAGGACAUUUAUACAAGUUAUGACGUGUUUCUUGGACUUAUUGGAGCCAGUUACACCCCAUUUAAACCAAAUGUAAUAUUUUAAUGGUUAUUAAUUUUUUAUCCAGUCUUAGUAUCAGCUUUAUUAAACACCAGGUUUUGUUAAUCAAUUCAGGUAGACUAUUGUUACAAGGUUUUAUGACCAUGCACAUGGUAUUCAAAAAACUCAUUCAUAGUAAAGGCAGUGUACAGAAGUACAGUUAAAAAAUUGUAAACUAUCCCCUCAGAUACACAAGAUAUAGGUGCGCAAAUACAAUAGCAAAUAGUAGCUUUAUUUACAAUUGGAAAUAUGUGACAUCUAUUAAGGGAAAACAAUGACAAGAGAAUAUUUUUUCCCAUCUUUAAUGUUUUCAGCAGAAUAUGAACAAGCUGAUAGGAAAAACAGUUUUUAAAGUACUUAAACUUAAGUGGAAAACAAAGAUAUAAGAUGAGGGAAGUUGAAAUGAAAAGAGAAUAUUUGUUCCAUUUGAAUGUUUUCAGCAGAAUAUGAACAAGCUGAUAAAUAAAACAAUUCUAAUAGAUAAAUUAGCAAUUAAACUGCUAACUGAAAAAAGACACAAAGAGAGGGAGGUAUAAAGUCCUAAAGACAUAUAUUUUUUAUUUUAUGUUUUAAAACGUCAAUACACUUCGCUUCUGUUUGGACUGAAAGCCGACAACCUUUCAUUUUAGAUUUAGAUUCAACUUUAUUGUCAUUACACACAUGGGCGCCGUAAAGGGGUGGAAGGUUAUGACGAUUCUAAGAGCCCUGGCUGAUUUAGGGCCCAGAAGAGCAGACCCCCUUUUUAUUUUCCUAUUUCUUUUCUCUUUUUUUAUACAUACAUUUAAUGUGCUAGGGCCCCUCGUGGACUAAAUGUGUAUUUUGUCCGUUUUGACCAUAGAUUUAAUAUUUAAAAAACAAAUAUUGUAUUAACUGUUUUAGUCACACACCUCCCUGCUCCCUCUCACAAUGGUUCAUUCCACCUGCGCUGUCCGAGCUACGAUCACUAGUGUAGCGUCUCUUGCUUAUUGGACUUGCUAUGCAGCGCAGACAGUGACACACAUCAAAAGUCAGGGCAUCAAAAACGGAAAGAAAAGAAGAAAAGAGAAGACAGAGAACGCCAAAGUCGACAGUAUCCCAACAAACAUUGGUCCGACGGCAACGUCGUGUCCCUGGCCUAAAAUAGUCGCGGUAGGACGGCAUAAACCGGUAAAAAUAUGUGACAUAUAACAUUUCCUAAAAAUGCAUUGAGAUACAUUUGUACAUGUCAACAGAUCUCUAUGGGUUGCAUGUAUGAUUGUUACUUUGACUUUAGCUACGUGUAAUUAUAUAAAUAUUGAAGCGGUUGAAAGGGCGUCCUCUUGUGACGUCCUCUACACGUGCAUUUUUAGUCCAUUGUGACCCUUUGUAAAGUUCUUAUGAAAUAAGCAAAAUAAAUUGUGCUUACCUUGCAUAAUACUGCAAUGAUUCAUUUGAGUGCCCAAUUAGUUAUAAAAAUGUUGUGAUAGACGUCCGUUGACGUUACACGUCAAACAACACCCAUUGCAAAAAGCAGGAAAUCUUUUUUUUAAAUACACGAUCAUUUGUAUUCAUCUUAGUUAAAUGACACAUUUACAUAUAUAAUGUUAUAAUAUCUGCUUUCACAAUUUAAAGUGGAUGAUUGCCAAAACUGUGCUGUCAAAAUCGGUGAUUCAUACUCCACUCCAGUUGGUGGCGGUAAUGCGCCUUCAGUUGAUUUACCAUCAGCAAUAAACUCUAAAGAAGAAGAAGACUCGGGAAUGGCGGUGUGGUUUAUUUCGAAAAGUGACGGAGUUAUACAAAUACUACUGUUGGGAUUCCAAAGGAAUAUUUUCCAUGCUUUUCGGUUUUAAAGAUGAACUUCAGUGAAUAUCUGGCAUUCUGGAACAUGGCAA